GGGGCCGUAGCUCAGCUGGGAGAGCGCAUGACUGGCAGUCAUGAGGUCGUGGGUUCGAUCCCCAUCGGCUCCA
rnacentral:tRNA from 1 species